GAGGCGGAGCUGCGCUGCGGAAACGGCGUAGAGUCCUUCCGAGAAUGGGGUCUGCGCUCCACGUGGCGCUCCACGCCACGCCCCCGAGGCCCGGCAGACGCGGGGAGGCGGGGCCCGGAGAAUCUGCAUGCACCCCAGACGCGCGCCAAAGAUGUGGCCCCCCAGCUCUCCCUUCCUGGGGGGUUGGUAAAGAUGCCCCCCACCCUCAGCUGCUGGCAGCUUUUACUCCUAAAGUGUGCUUGUCAAUGCUGAGCAUUAGGGCACGCGCACAUCUGGGAAGAAAGUUGCAUCAGUUUACAGCUAUUUACAGAAUCGGAUUUGUAAUUUGCUCACCGCAAAUUCUUGUUUGUUUACCGGGGGAAAUGUUGGUACUGUGAUCAAAUGUUUUACUCCCUCGUCGUCUGGAGGUUCCCCCCACAAGAGACUCAGCUUCGGCAAGAGCAUUGGGCAAGAAGCAGGAUCAUCUGAAUAAGAGACAGACUAUGAAACGUCCUGUGAAAAGUGCCUGUAGGACAGACAGGAGAGAUGUUGGUUGGCAAAAGGCUGAAGACAUUAAAAUUUUGAACCUCUUGGAUAAAGAACUAUGGCUUUUCAAAUACUGGAACCAGAAGCCAGAGUGUUAAAAUAGCAGAUUGAGAAUUCCCAGUAGCAAGAGACAGCAAAUAAAGAUGGGAGAGACUGAGCCUUUUUGAAAGUCUGUCCCUCUGCUGAACGCCACUUUGAAGGGAAAGAAAAAGUCAAAUGGCAACUUCCAGUCUGGUCUGGGUUGGCCCCGUGGAGGCUCUGGUUUCUGAGUAAUGUCCACGAAAGUCACAACAGUCGUCAAGGAUACUUCUGGGAUUUCAGGGAAUUCCUGCAAGAAGAGAUUUCAAGACAGAUUGUUGAAUCUACUGAAUAAAGAAAAACCUAUCCAAGAUACAUAUUGUGGAAACUUCAGAGUACCAGAAGUAAAAAGAUCUUAAAAUGGCUUCUGAACAGCAGUACUGGAGAUGAGAAGAUGAUGAAGAAUGCCUUCAAAAUUGUCACACCCAGCGCUGCACAGGGGUCACUCCUGGCUCUGCACUCAGGAAUUACCCUUGGCGGUGCUCAGGGGACCAUAUGGAAUGCUGGGAAUCAAACCUGGGCCAGCUGCAUGCAAGGCAAAUGCCCUACCCGCUGUGCUAUCACUCCAGCCCCGAAUUAUAUUUAAUUUUUAAAUAUAAUUUAACCCAAUGCUUCUUUCCCUCCUGACCCUUGUGGAAGAA